CAUGAAAGAAGUUUAAAAAGGACGGCGUAAGCUGUCGCUAAAAGGGGAUGGACCUGCGAUGCAUUAGCUAGUUGGUAAGGUAACGGCUUACCAAGGCGAUGAUGCAUAGCCCGAGUUGAGAGACUGAUCGGCCACAUUGGGACUGAGACACGGCCCAAACUCCUACGGGAGGCAGCAGUAGGGAAUCUUCCACAAUGGACGAAAGUCUGAUGGAGCAACGCCGCGUGAGUGAAGAAGGUUUUCGGAUCGUAAAGCUCUGUUGUUGGUGAAGAAGGAUAGAGGUAGUAACUGGCCUUUAUUUGACGGUAAUCAACCAGAAAGUCACGGCUAACUACGUGCCAGCAGCCGCGAUAAU
rnacentral:rRNA from 1 species